GAAAGAGAGAAAGAGAGAGAGAGAGAGAGAGAAUGU
rnacentral:sRNA from 1 species